UACGGGAGGCAGCAGUGGGGAAUAUUGCACAAUGGGCGAAAGCCUGAUGCAGCUAUGCCGCGUGUAUGAAGAAGGCCUUAGGGUUGUAAAGUACUUUCAGCAGGGAGGAAGAAAUAAAACUAAUAAUUUUAUUUUGUGACGUUACCUGAAGAAGAAGCACCGGCUAACUCCGUGCCAGCAGCCGCGGUAAUACGGAGGGUGCAAGCGUUAAUCAGAAUUACUGGGCGUAAAGAGCGCGUAGGUGGUUUUUUAAGUCAGAUGUGAAAUCCCUAGGCUUAACCUAGGAACUGCAUUUUGAAACUGAAAAACUAGAGUAUCGUAGAGGGAGGUAGAAUUCUAGGUGUAGCGGUGAAAUGCGUAGAUAUCUGGAGGAAUACCUGUGGCGAAAGCGGCCUCCUAAACGAAUACUGACACUGAGGUGCGAAAGCGUGGGGAGCGAAACAGGGAUUAGAUACC
rnacentral:rRNA from 1 species